rnacentral:rRNA from 1 species
CUUGGUGGUUAUAGCGAGGGUGUCCCACCCGAUUCCAUUCCGAACUCGGACGUGAAACCCCUUAGCGCCGAUGGUACUGCACCUUAAGGUGUGGGAGAGUAGGUCGCCGCCAGGU